GAGAUGACUCUUGGCAAUGGAUAUCUCGGCUCUCGCAUCGAUGAAGAACGUAGCGAAAUGCGAUACUUGGUGUGAAUUACAGAAUCCCACGAACCAUCGAGUCUUUGACUGUAAGUUGCGCCCAAAGCCUUAAGGUUGAGGGCACGCCUGCCUAGGCGUCACGC
rnacentral:rRNA from 1 species